rnacentral:snRNA from 1 species
GUGCUCGCUUUGACAACACGUAGACUAAACUUGGAACGAUACAGAGAAGAGUAGCAUGGCCUCUGUGCAAGGAUGACAAAUUUGUGAAGCGUUCCAUAUUUUU